ACCGCAUUUUUGAUACUUUGAAAUAAUGAUACAUCAAUAAGAGACAUAUAAAUAGACCAUCAAUGCAAUAACAAUGAAGUAAGAACUCAUUGGCACAUCAAUGAAGUGUUUUGGAGUCAUCAAUGCCAUAACAAUGAAGUAGGAACUUAUUUGUAUAUCAAUGAAACGUUUUGGAGUCAUUAAUAGCGCAUGGAUCUUGUUUGAGUAACCGGAUACCUUUUGACAUUCAUUAGUGCA
rnacentral:lncRNA from 1 species